GAUGAACGCUGGCGGCGAGCCUAAUACAUGCAAGUCGAGCGAACAGACGAGGAGCUUGCUCCUCUGACGUUAGCGGCGGACGGGUGAGUAACACGUGGAUAACCUACCUAUAAGACUGGGAUAACUUCGGGAAACCGGAGCUAAUACCGUAUAACAUGUUGAACCGCAUGGUUCAACAGUGAAAGACGGUCUUGCUGUCACUUAUAGAUGGAUCCGCGCCGCAUUAGCUAGUUGGUAAGGUAACGGCUUACCAAGGCAACGAUGCGUAGCCGACCUGAGAGGGUGAUCGGCCACACUGGAACUGAGACACGGUCCAGACUCCUACGGGAGGCAGCAGUAGGGAAUCUUCCGCAAUGGGCGAAAGCCUGACGGAGCAACGCCGCGUGAGUGAAGAAGGUCUUCGGAUCGUAAAACUCUGUUAUUAGGGAAGAACAAAUGUGUAAGUAACUAUGCACGUCUUGACGGUACCUAAUCAGAAAGCCACGGCUAACUACGUG
rnacentral:rRNA from 1 species